rnacentral:rRNA from 1 species
GAUGGACGCUGGCGGCGUGCCUAAUACAUGCAAGUCGAGCGAACAGACGAGGAGCUUGCUCCUCUGACGUUAGCGGCGGACGGGUGUGUAACACGUGGAUAACCUACCUAUAAGACUGGGAUAACUUCGGGAAACCGGAGCUAAUACCGGAUAAUAUAUUGAACCGCAUGGUUCAAUAGUGAAAGACGGUUUUGCUGUCACUUAUAGAUGGAUCCGCGCCGCAUUAGCUAGUUGGUAAGGUAACGGCUUACCAAGGCAACGAUGCGUAGCCGACCUGAGAGGGUGAUCGGCCACACUGGAACUGAGACACGGUCCAGACUCCUACGGGAGGCAGCAGUAGGGAAUCUUCCGCAAUGGGCGAAAGCCUGACGGAGCAACGCCGCGUGAGUGAUGAAGGUCUUCGGAUCGUAAAACUCUGUUAUUAGGGAAGAACAAAUGUGUAAGUAACUAUGCACGUCUUGACGGUACCUAAUCAGAAAGCCACGGCUAACUACGUG